AGAGUUUGAUCCUGGCUCAGAAUGAACGCUGGCGGCGUGCUUAACACAUGCAAGUCGAACGGUAGCAGAAGAGAGCUUGCUUUCUUGCUAACGAGUGGCGCACGGGUGAGUAAUGCAUAGGUAACGUGCCCCUUAGUCUGGGAUAGCCACUGGAAACGGUGAAUAAUACCGGAUACUCCUUCUGCCUUGAUGGCAGUCGGGAAAGUUUUUCGCUAAGGGAUCGGCCUAUGUCCUAUCAGGUAGUUGGUGAGGUAAAAGCUCACCAAGCCUAUGACGGGUAGCGGGUCUGAGAGGAUGAUCCGCCACACUGGUACUGAGACACGGACCAGACUCCUACGGGAGGCAGCAGUGGGGAAUAUUGCACAAUGGACGAAAGUCUGAUGCAGCAGCGCCGCGUGGAGGAUGACACAUUUCGGUGCGUAAACUCCUUUUAUAUGAGAAGAUAAUGACGGAAUCAUAUGAAUAAGCACCGGCUAACUCCGUGCCAGCAGCCGCGGUAAUACGGAGGGUGCAAGCGUUAUUCGGAAUCACUGGGCGUAAAGGGUGCGUAGGCGGUUUGGAAAGUCAGGUGUGAAAUCCUACAGCUUAACUGUAGAACUGCUCUUGAAACUUCCAGACUAGAAUACUGAAGGGGCAGAUGGAAUUAGUGGUGUAGGGGUAAAAUCCGUAGAUAUCACUAGGAAUACCGAAAGCGAAAGCGAUCUGCUGGGAAGUUAUUGACGCUGAGGCACGAAAGCGUGGGGAGCAAACGGGAUUAGAUACCCCGGUAGUCCACGCCCUAAACGAUGAAUGCUAGUCGUCGGAAAGCUCGUCUUUUCGGUGAUGCAGUUAACACAUUAAGCAUUCCGCCUGGGGAGUACGGUCGCAAGAUUAAAACUCAAAGGAAUAGACGGGGACCCGCACAAGUGGUGGAGCAUGUGGUUUAACUCGAAAAUACGCGAAGAACCUUACCUAGCCUUGACAUUGAUAGAAUCUGAUAGAGAUAUCGGAGUGCCUGCUUGCAGGAACUUGAAAACAGGUGCUGCACGGCUGUCGUCAGCUCGUGUCGUGAGAUGUUGGGUUAAGUCCCGCAACGAGCGCAACCCUCGUCGUUAGUUGCUAACAGUUCGGCUGAGCACUCUAGCGAGACUGCCUUCGCAAGGAGGAGGAAGGUGAGGACGACGUCAAGUCAUCAUGGCCCUUAUGGCUAGGGCUACACACGUGCUACAAUG
rnacentral:rRNA from 1 species